GACGAACGCUGGCGGCGUGCUUAACACAUGCAAGUCGAACGGUGAAGCUCCAGCUUGCUGGAGUGGAUCAGUGGCGAACGGGUGAGUAACACGUGAGCAACCUGCCCCAGACUCUGGAAUAAGCGCUGGAAACGGCGUCUAAUACUGGAUACGAGAUCAAGCCGCAUGGUUAUGGUCUGGAAAGUUUGUCGGUUUGGGAUGGGCUCGCGGCCUAUCAGCUUGUUGGUGAGGUAAUGGCUCACCAAGGCGACGACGGGUAGCCGGCCUGAGAGGGCGACCGGCCACACUGGGACUGAGACACGGCCCAGACUCCUACGGGAGGCAGCAGUGGGGAAUAUUGCACAAUGGGCGGAAGCCUGAUGCAGCGACGCCGCGUGAGGGAUGACGGCCUUCGGGUUGUAAACCUCUUUCAGCAGGGAAGAAGCGAAAGUGACGGUACCUGCAGAAGAAGCACCGGCUAACUACGUG
rnacentral:rRNA from 1 species